rnacentral:rRNA from 1 species
UACGGAGGGUGCAAGCGUUAUCCGGAUUCACUGGGUUUAAAGGGUGCGUAGGAGGGCAGGUAAGUCAGUGGUGAAAUCUCCAAGCUUAACUUGGAAACUGCCGUUGAUACUGAGGAGCUCGAGUCCGGGAGAGGUGAGUGGAACUGCGAGUGUAGAGGUGAAAUUCGUAGAUAUUCGGAAGAACACCAGUGGCGAAGGCGACUUACUGGACACAUAUUGACGCUGAGGUGCGAAAGCGUGGGGAGCAAACAGG